rnacentral:lncRNA from 1 species
CCGAGUGGUACUGGUAUAUAAGAAAGCUGUUGGCUCUGGAAGAAGAGCACUCAGCAAAACCAAGUUGUAUUGUAUCUCUACAACUUCACAAGACAAAGAAGAAGAGAGAGAGAUGGAGGGUGCCACAGCUACUGCCGGGAGAGCAAUGAUGAACGGAGGAGAUUUGUCCAGGAGAUUAUCUGGCCGUCCGAUUCCAAAGAGGGGUCAGGUGAAGAUGGGAAUUGUGGUGGGAUUAGCCAAUUCUGUGGCUUCCAUCUUUGGUCCUCACCGCCGCCGUCAAUCAAUGCACAGCCAGUCAAGGAACAACUCCUAGAGUUACUAAGACUUAUUCGAUUGUUAUUUGUUCAUCAUGUAAUGGAUUUUAAUGUUUGUACAUUGUAGAAUUUGCUUCAAAUAUAUAUUGAAAUGAGAAUUUGUUCAAUCAUUUCAUUUUAUAUUGAUACAAUAUUAUUUAUUUAUUUGUAUUGUUCAAAAAUUUGGCU